UCCGUAGGGGGUCUGCCAAGUCCGAUGUGAAAGCCCGCGGCUCAACUGCGGAACGGCAUUGGAUACUGGCGGGCUGGAGUCUGCGAGGGGUGAGCGGAAUUCCUGGUGUAGCGGUGGAAUGCGUAGAUAUCAGGAAGAACACCGAUGGCGAAGGCGGCUCACUGGCGCAGUACUGACCCUGAAGGACGAAAGCGUGGGUAGCAAACA
rnacentral:rRNA from 1 species